rnacentral:rRNA from 1 species
UACGUAGGGUGCAAGCGUUGUCCGGAAUUAUUGGGCGUAAAGAGCUCGUAGGCGGUCUGUCGCGUCGGCUGUGAAACCCCGAGGCUCAACCUCGGGCCUGCAGUCGAUACGGGCAGACUAGAGUUCGGUAGGGGAGACUGGAAUUCCUGGUGUAGCGGUGAAAUGCGCAGAUAUCAGGAGGAACACCGGUGGCGAAGGCGGCCUGCUGGGCAGUAGCUGACGCUGAGGCGCGACAGCGUGGGGAGCAAACAGG